rnacentral:rRNA from 1 species
CAACCUGGGAACUGCAUCCGAAACUGGCAGGCUUGUAGUCUUGUAGAAGGGGGGUAGACAUUACCAGGUGUAGCCGGUGAAAUGGCGUAGAGAUCUGGAGGGAAUACCGGUGGCGAAAGGCGGCCCCCUUGGACAAACGACUGACGCUCAGGUGCGAAAGCGUGGGGAGCAAACAGGGAUUAGAUACCCUGGUAGUCUCACGCCGUAAACGAUGUCGACUUGGAGGUUGUGCCCUUGAGGCGUGCCGCUUCUCGGAGCUAACGCGUUAAGUCGACCGCCUGGUGGAGUACGGCCGCAAGGUUAAAAUCUCAAAUGAAUUGACGGGGGCCCGCACAAGCGGUGGAGCAUGUGGUCGUUAAUUCGAUGCAACGCGAAGAACCUUACCUGGUCUUGACAUCCACAGCACACUUUCCAGAGAUGGAUUUGGUGCCUUCGGGAACUGUGAGACAGGUGCUGCAUGGCUGUCGUCAGCUCGUGUUGUGAAAUGUUGGGUUAAGUCCCGCAACGAGCGCAACCCUUAUCCUUUGUUGCCAGCGGUCCGGCCGGGAACUCAAAGGAGACUGCCAGUGAUAAACUGGAGGAAGGUGGGGAUGACGUCAAGUCAUCAUGGCCCUUACGACCAGGGCUACACACGUGCUACAAUGGCGCAUACAAAGAGAAGCGAACUCGCGAGAGCAAGCGGACCUCAUAAAGUGCGUCGUAGUCCGGAUUGGAGUCUGCAACUCGACUCCAUGAAGUCGGAAUCGCUAGUAAUCGUGGAUCAGAAUGCCACGGUGAAUACGUUCCCGGGCCUUGUACACACCGCCCGUCACACCAUGGGAGUGGGUUGCAAAAGAAGUA